rnacentral:pre_miRNA from 1 species
CGAUUACUCCCUCCGUUCGGAAAUACUUGUCAUUGAAAUGGAUGUAUCUAGAUGUAUUUUAGUUGUAGAUACAUUCAUUUUCAUCUAUUUUGAUGACAAGUAUUUCCGGACGGAGGGAGUACUUA